UACGUAGGGGGCAAGCGUUGUCCGGAUUUAUUGGGCGUAAAGAGCGUGUAGGCGGCCAGACAGGUCAGCUGUGAAAACUCGAGGCUCAACCUCGAGACGUCGGUUGAAACCGUCUGGCUAGAGUCCGGAAGAGGAGAGUGGAAUUCCCGGUGUAGCGGUGAAAUGCGCAGAUAUCGGGAAGAACACCCGUGGCGAAGGCGGCUCUCUGGGACGGUACUGACGCUGAGGAGCGAAAGCGUGGGGAGCGAACAGG
rnacentral:rRNA from 1 species